rnacentral:rRNA from 1 species
UACAGAGGUCCCAAGCGUUGUUCGGAAUUACUGGGCGUAAAGGGCUCGUAGGCGGCCAACUAAGUCGGAUGUGAAAUUUCGGAGCUUAACUCCGAAACUGCAUUCGAUACUGCGGUGCUUGAGGACUGGAGAGGAGACUGGAAUUCAUGGUGUAGCAGUGAAAUGCGUAGAGAUCAUGAGGAAGACCAGUGGCGAAGGCGGGUCUCGUGGGCCGAUACUGACGUGAGGAGCGAAAGACGUGGGGGAGCGAACAGG